GGCGGGCCAGAAUGCAACAAAGCAGGGUUGGUUGAGCAUGGCGGCAGCAGCCGGUAAACUGGGAAGCAGUGAAAGUUUAUUGUGCUGAUAAGCAAGUGACUUUUGCAAAGUUGGAAUUCUGGAGUGGUGGCAGCUGGUGAGAACACUGGCUUCUCCGUCUCGAACAAGUCGGUUUCCUCAGUCUCUCUCUCCCCCGGGAGGAUUUCCCCGCCGCCUGACUCCGCCCACACAGCGCUGGUUCAGGAACCCUGGACAAUUCAACAAGCUACCUAACAAGCGAACUUUGGCUCGACUGGAUUUAUUAAGUUGACCCGGAACUACAGAGCGUUUAUUUCUCUCGGAGGAGCUGUUUACGAACACUCGGACUCUCGCACACUGUGACACUAAAGACUGAAACUGUGUGUGUGUGUGUGUGUGAUAAUCUUGUGCGGUAAUUUUGGAGGUUUUCUUUCAUUUAUAUGCUGAGGUUUAUUUGUCUUUGAGAGACACACCAAAUAAUAUUGCUUAUUCUGUAAUUGCCAGUAAGGUUCACUGAUCUUGGCUCAGUUGGUGUUAAUCCAUCAAUGUGUAGCAUUCAAUUUAUUCCGGACCAUUAAAGACGCCGCCUUCCGCGUAGAAUCAUACGUCAUCCUCGCCGCCAUAUUGGAUAGGUCAAAGCGGAGAAUAAAGAUGCCUCAUUCAUGUGCUGCGUUUAACUGUACCAACAGGUUUACCAUCCAAACGAGAUCACAUGGGAUUACCUUUCACAGCUUCACAGCGCAGAACUGAGAGGCAGCUGCUGUUAAAGCUCAACAGAGUUCAUGGAGUGAACACACACACACACACACACACACUGUUAUGGUUUAUGUGCAGACUGCCUUGAGCUUCUUGUUAUUGUUAAUACACAGAACUGCACACACACAGUUUAUAUGUGUGAAAUAUAUAUGAAAUCUCUGCCUGUUAUGCCGUCCUGAUCAAUAAACAGAGUUACUCAGCA